GUUUAGCCCUGAUGGAAGUGAUAUCCUUUUUUGUUCCCGAUUCUACUCAAACUAACAAAAAAGAUAAAACGAACAGCAGGAACACCG
rnacentral:sRNA from 2 species